rnacentral:rRNA from 1 species
AUGGUAGGAUAGAGGCCUACCAUGGUGGUAACAGGUAACGGGGUGUUAGGGCACGACACCGGAGAGGGAGCCUGAGAAACGGCUACCACAUCCAAGGAUGGCAGCAGGCGCGCAAAUUACCCAAUCCCGACACGGGGAGGUAGUGACAAUAAAUAACAAUACGGGGUUCUUUAGGAUCUCGUAAUUGGAAUGAGUACAAUUUAAAUCUCUUAACGAGGAACAAUUGGAGGGCAAGUCUGGUGCCAGCAGCCGCGGUAAUUCCAGCUCCAAUAGCGUAUAUNAAAGUUGUUGCAGUUAAAAAGCUCGUAGUUGAAUUUCGGGGUCAGUAGGUCGGUCGUGCCACUGGUAUGAACUGGUUUUACUGAUUCCUCCCUCUUGAAGAACUGUAAUGCCAUUAAUUUGGUGUUGCAGGGAAUCAGGACUGUUACUUUGAAAAAAUUAGAGUGUUUAAAGCAGGCUUUAGCUUGAAUACAUUAGCAUGGAAUAAUGAAAUAGGACGUUUGAUCCUAUUUUGUUGGUUUCUAGGAUUGACGUAAUGAUUAAUAGGGAUAGUUGGGGGCAUUAGUAUUCAAUUGUCAGAGGUGAAAUUCUUGGAUUUAUUGAAGACUAACUACUGCGAAAGCAUUUGCCAAGGAUGUUUUCAUUAAUCAAGAACGAAAGUUAGGGGAUCGAAGACGAUCAGAUACCGUCGUAGUCUUAACCAUAAACUAUGCCGACUAGGGAUCGGAUGAUGUUAAUUUUUUAAUGACUCAUUCGGCGCCUUACGGGAAACCAAAGUGUUUGGG